rnacentral:snoRNA from 1 species
AUUUGAUGGUGUGGGCAGCUUGCACAUAACUUUUUGAAACGCUCCCAAUAUUCAUACAAUGACUCUCCAUUGUUUUGUCGUAUACCACAUAUUUCCUUUCUAAUGUU